CCGGACCGGACGGCGGCUGGCGGGCACGUUCUCGGAUAGACUCCGAUUCACGCCUAUCGGCGACGCUAUAGCUUUGGGUAAUCUCAGGACCAGUCUUGAAACACGGACCAAGGAGUCUAGCAUCUGCGCGAGUCAUUGGGACUUGUAAACCUAUUGGCGAAAUGAAAGUAAAGGCCGCCUUGCGCGCGCCUAGGGAAGAUGGGUCGCACCGCGGUGCGGCCCCGCACUCCUGGGGCGUCUCGUGCCCAUUGCGGGCUGAGGCGCACCGAGAGCGCAAAUGCUGGGACCCGAAAGAUGGUGAACCAUGCCUGGUCAGAACGAAGUCAGGGGAAACCCUGGUGGAGGUUCGUAGCGAUUCUGACGUGCAAAUCGAUCGUCGGAACUGGGUAU
rnacentral:rRNA from 1 species